UAUAAUAUAGCAAAAAAGUGCAUUGAUUUUAAGCAUCAAAUAUAAAGAAUUUUUAUUAUUUCUUUUAUUAUAA
rnacentral:tRNA from 1 species